rnacentral:rRNA from 1 species
UACGUAGGGGGCAAGCGUUGUUCGGAUUUACUGGGCGUAAAGGGCGCGUAGGCGGCAAUUCAAGUCAUCUGUGAAAUCUCCGGGCUUAACUCGGAACGGUCAGAUGAUACUGUUUUGCUAGAGUGCAGAAGGGGCAAUCGGAAUUCUUGGUGUAGCGGUGAAAUGCGUAGAUAUCAAGAGGAACACCUGAGGUGAAGACGGGUUGCUGGGCUGACACUGACGCUGAGGCGCGAAAGCCAGGGGAGCAAACGGG